CUUUCAGCAGGGUGUUUUUUUUUUUUUUUUAAGGGAUGUUAGUCUUGGAUUAUUACCACAAGCAAGCAAGCAGAUGGCAUCAUUGCUGAGUGGGGUUCAGGGUGAAGGAUGACACAGUAAGCGUCCAAAUCAUAAUUGGAGCUAUUCCACGAAGAGGAGCUCAAGGGAGGCUCCUGGCCCAUACCUAAGACAACUGAGAGAGAGGGAGACAGAGACAAAGAGAGGAAUGGAGUCCACCUUUCUACCCAAGCCCAGUAGCUGAAACAGCUCUUCAGUUUUCAGACUCCGGUGGCCCAGAAGGACAAGAAUGCAGAACCAGGCAGGAGCAGGGGAAACUGCUCGGAAAGCAUUGGCGUUCAGGGCUUGGAAUCCAGCGUAGAAUCCAUCUCUCGUCCUUCACAGACGGGCGACAUCAAGCACAAGAGGGCUGUUUGCCGGGUGCGGAGGGUAGGAAGCGGAUAUUUUU
rnacentral:lncRNA from 1 species